AGUUUUUCUUCGAACAUCUUGCACUAAAGCUUCCGAUAUACCAACCAACACACAAGAAUCGGAUAAUACAGCAGCCGGAACGAUAAAAAAUUGAAUAUUACGCCUUAUAAACACGGGUGGAAGUGGCACAGGCAAAUGAAACUUUAUGAAAACCAACGAAUCUGGUGGCCGGAACGAUAAAAAGCAAGUUGAAUAUUACGCCUUAUAAACACGGGUGGAAGUGGCACAGGCAAAUGAAACUUUAUGAAAACCAA